rnacentral:rRNA from 1 species
UACAGAGGGGGCAAGCGUUGUUCGGAAUUACUGGGCGUAAAGGGCGCGUAGGCGGCCUUCUAAGUCAGACGUGAAAUCCCCGGGCUCAACCCGGGCGAACUGACGUCUGAGACUGGAAGGCUCGAAUCCGGGAGAGGGAUGCGGAAUUCCAGGUGUAGCGGUGAAAUGCGUAGAUAUCUGGAGGAACACCGGUGGCGAAGGCGGCAUCCUGGACCGGCAUUGACGCUGAGGCGCGGAAA